rfam:Rattus norvegicus chromosome 1, whole genome shotgun sequence.
GGGGAUUUAGCUCAGUGGUAGAGCGCUUGCCUAGCAAGCACAAGGCCCUGGGUUCAAUCCCCAGCUCUG